ensembl:snRNA U4 U4 spliceosomal RNA
AGCUUUUCACAGUGGCAGUAUCGUAGCCAAUGAGGUUUAUCCAAGGCGCGAUUAUUGCUAAUUGAAAACUUUUCCCAAAUGGGC